ACGGCCUUCGGGUUGUAAACCCCUUUCAGCAGGGACGAAGCUAACGUGACGGUACCUGCUGAAGAAGAGCCGGCUAACUACGUGCCAGCAGCCGCGGUAAUACGUAGGGCGCAAGCGUUCGUCCGGAAUUAUUGGGCGUAAAGAGUUAGUAGGCGGUUUGUCGCGUCUGUCGUGAAAGCCCACGGCUUAACCGUGAGUCUGCGGUGGAUACGGGCAGACUAGAGGCAGGUAGGGGAGAAUGGAAUUCCCGGUGUAGCGGUGAAAUGCGCAGAUAUCGGGAGGAACACCGGUGGCGAAGGCGGUUCUCUGGGCCUGUAGUGACGCUGAGGAGCGAAAGCGUGAGGAGCGAACAGGAUUAGAUACCCUGGUAGUCCACGCCGUAAACGUUGGGCGCUAGGUGUGGGGUUCUUCCAUGGAUUCGCGCCGUAGCUAACGCAUUAAGCGCCCCGCCUGGGGAGUACGGCCGCAAGGCUAAAACUCAAAGGAAUUGACGGGGGCCCGCACAAGCGGCGGAGCAUGUUGCUUAAUUCGACGCAACGCGAAGAACCUUACCAUGGCUUGACAUCGCCGGAAAUCCCGCAGAGAUGCGGGGUCCUUUUUGGGCCGGUGACAGCUGGAGCAUGGCUGUCGUCAGCUCUUGUCGUGAGAUGUUGGGUUAAGUCCCGCAAAGAGCGCAACCCUCGUUCCAUGUUGCCAGCACUUUGGGGGGGGACUCAUGGGAGACCGCCGGGGUCAACUCGGAGGAAGG
rnacentral:rRNA from 1 species